rnacentral:rRNA from 1 species
GACGAACGCUGGCGGCGUGCUUAACACAUGCAAGUCGAACGGAAAGGCCCUGCUUUCAGGGUACUCGAGUGUCGAACGGGGGAGUAACACACGGGGGAUCUGCCCUUCACUUCGGGAUAAGCCUGGGAAACUGGGGCUAAUACCGGAUAGGAGUCUUCGUUAGUGUGAGGGGUGGAAAGUUUUUUCGGUGUAGGAUGAGCUCGCGGGCUAUCAGCUUGUUGGUGGGGUAAUGGCCUACCAAGGCGGCGACGGGUAGCCGGCCUGAGAGGGUGGACGGCCACCUUGGCACUGAGGUACGGCCCAGAUGCCGACGGGAGGAAGAAGUGGGGAAUCUUGCACCAUGGGCGCAAGCCUGAUGCAGAGACGCCGCGUGGGGGAUGACGGCCUUCGGGUUGUAAAAUCCUUUCGCUAGGGACGAAGCUUUUUGUGACGGUACCUAGAUAAGAAGCACCGGCUAACUACGUG